rnacentral:rRNA from 1 species
CAUUAAGUUCCCCGCCUGGGGAGUACGGCCGCAAGGCUAAAACUCAAAGGAAUUGACGGGGACCCCACAAGCGGCGGAGCAUGCGGAUUAAUUCGAUGCAACGCGAAGAACCUUACCAAGGCUUGACAUACACCAGAACACCGUAGAAAUACGGGACUCUUUGGACACUGGUGAACAGGUGGUGCAUGGUUGUCGUCAGCUCGUGUCGUGAGAUGUUGGGUUAAGUCCCGCAACGAGCGCAACCCUCGUUCUGUGUUGCCAGCACGUUAUGGUGGGAACUCAUGGGAUACUGCCGGGGUCAACUCGGAGGAAGGUGGGGAUGACGUCAAAUCAUCAUGCCCCUUAUGUCUUGGGCUUCACGCAUGCUACAAUGGCCGGUACAAAGGGCUGCAAUACCGUGAGGUGGAGCGAAUCCCAAAAAGCCGUGCAGUUCGGAUUGAGGUUGCAACUCGACCUCAUGAGUCGGAGUCGCUAGCAUUCGCGGGUCAACGCAAAA